GGGGGUAUAGCUCAGAUGGGAGAGCGCUUGCAUGGCAUGCAAGAGGUCGGCGGUUCGAUCCCGCUUGCUUCCA
rnacentral:tRNA from 1 species